rnacentral:lncRNA from 1 species
ACAACAUCUUUUCUUGAAAAGUUCUAAUUCCUAGUCUAUAAAAAGGAGACCCCUCUCUUGGACGUCCCAUGAUCAAUUCCCUUGUAGAUUUUUUGUUUCAAGAGCCUCUUCUCCUCCUCCUCUCUUUCUCCUCCAGAUCUCUUAUCACUUUGAAGUGUCCAAGGUAUUUGUAGAAGAAGGAAGAGGUCAGCUGUCGAAGUUGUUCGUAGACUAGCAUCUCCGAGCCCC